rnacentral:rRNA from 1 species
CCUACGGGAGGCAGCAGUGAGGAAUAUUGGUCAAUGGGCGCUAGCCUGAACCAGCCAAGUAGCGUGAAGGAUGACUGCCCUAUGGGUUGUAAACUUCUUUUAUAUGGGAAUAAAGUGCAGUAUGUAUACUGCUUUGCAUGUACCUUAUGAAUAAGGAUCGGCUAACUCCGUGCCAGCAGCCGCGGUAAUACGGAGGAUGCGAGCGUUAUCCGGAUUUAUUGGGUUUAAAGGGAGCGUAGGCGGGUUGUUAAGUCAGUUGUGAAAGUUUGCGGCUCAACCGUAAAAUUGCAGUUGAUACUGGCAGCCUUGAGUACAGUAGAGGUAGGCGGAAUUCGUGGUGUAGCGGUGAAAUGCUUAGAUAUCACGAAGAACUCCGAUUGCGAAGGCAGCCUGCUGGACUGUAACUGACGCUGAUGCUCGAAAGUGUGGGUAUCAAACAGGAUUAGAUACCCUAGUAGUC